rnacentral:rRNA from 1 species
UACAGAGGUCUCAAGCGUUGUUCGGAUUCAUUGGGCGUAAAGGGUGCGUAGGUGGCGUGGUAAGUCGGGUGUGAAAUUUCGGAGCUUAACUCCGAAACUGCAUUCGAUACUGCUGUGCUUGAGGACUGGAGAGGAGACUGGAAUUUACGGUGUAGCAGUGAAAUGCGUAGAGAUCGUAAGGAAGACCAGUGGCGAAGGCGGGUCUCUGGACAGUUCCUGACACUGAGGAGCGAAAGCGUGGGGAGCGAACAGG